rnacentral:rRNA from 1 species
GUUUGAUUAUGGCUUGAAUUGAACGCUGGCGGGAUGCUUUACACAUGCAAGUCGAACGGCAGCACGGACUUCGGUCUGGUGGCGAGUGGCGAACAGGUGAGUAAUGUAUCGGAACGUGCCUAGUAGCGGGGGAUAACUACGCGAAAGCGUGGCUAGCGCCGCAUACGCCCUUCGGGGGGAAAGCGGGGGACCUUCGGGCCCUCGCGCACAAUGAAACGGCCGAUAUCGGAUUAGCUAGUUGGUGAAACGGCUCACCAAGGCGACGAUCCGUAAGCUGGUUUGAGAGAGGACGACCAGCCACACUGGGACUGAGACACGGCCCAGACUCUACGGGGAGGCAGCAGUGGGGAAUUUUGGACAAUGGAAACCUGAUCCAGCCAUCCCGCGUGUGCGAUGAAGGCCUUCGGGUUGUAAGCACUUUUGGCAGGAAAGAAACGGCACGGGAUAAUACCCCGUGCAACUGACGGCUGCAGAAUAAGCACCAGCUAACUACGUACCCAGCAGCCGCGGUAAUACGUAGGGUGCAAGCGUUAAUCGGAAUUACUGGGCGUAAAGCGUGCGCAGGCGGUUCGGAAAGAAGAUGUGAAAUCCCAGAGCUUAACUUUGGAACUGCAUUUUUAACUACCGAGCUAGAGUGUGUCAGAGGUGGAAUUCCGCGUGUAGCAGUGAAAUGCUAUGCGGAGGAACACCGAUGGCGGCGAUCCUGGGAUAACAGCUGACGCUCAUGCAUUUGCGCGUGAGGCAAACAGGAUUAAGUGCCCUGGUAGUCCACGCCUAAACGAUGUCAACUAGCUGUUGGGGCCUUCGGGCCUUGGUAGCGCAGCUAACGCGUGAAGUUGACCGCCUGGGGAGUACGGUCGCAAGAUUAAAACUCAAAGGAAUUGACGGGGACCCGCACAAGCGGUGGAUGAUGUGGAUUAAUUCGAUGCAACGCAGAAAACCUUACCUACCCUUGACAUGUCUGGAAUCCCGAAGAGAUUUGGGAGUGCUCGCAAGAGAACCGGAACACAGGUGCUGCAUGGCUGUCGUCAGCUCGUGUCGUGAGAUGUUGGGUUAAGUCCCGCAACAGGCGCAACCCUUGUCAUUAGUUGCUACGAAGGGCACUCUAAUGAGACUGCCGGUGACAAACCGGAGGAAGGUGGGAUGACGUCAAGUCCUCAUGGCCCUUAUGGGUGGGGCUUCACACGUCAUACAAUGGUCGGGACAGAGGGUCGCCAACCCGCGAGAGGAGCCAAUCCAAAGAAACCCGAUCAAUAGUCGGAUCGCAGUCUGCAACUCGACUGCGUGAAGUCGGAGAUCGCUAAUCGCCAGUCAUCGCUGGUGAAUACGUUCCCGGGUCUUAUACACCGCCACCAUGGGAGUGGGUUUUACCAGAAGUAGUUAGCCCUAACCGUAAGGAGGGCGAUUACCACGGUAGGAUUCAUGACUGGGGUGAAGUCGUAACAAGGUAA